rnacentral:other from 1 species
UGUGCCCUGCUGUGUUCGUGAUGCAGCACAUGCGUUUUGAGCCAACACUUACUUUUUUCUGGCCUGAUAUUACGUUAGUGACGCGAUAGGCUUCGGCCAAGGUGGAUCUACCGAUGAAGGCCAAUACCUGCGAAAGCAGGUUCAAAACUUAGUUGCACACGGCAUGGUGGGGUUUCU